rnacentral:sRNA from 2 species
GUUUGCACUUGUCGGGGAAGGGUGAGAACCUUCGAUUAAGGUUCGACUUGAGCGAAAGCGAGAGAACGUUGCCAACGGCAACGGCCCGUAGG